CCUGGAAAACACGCAUGUGCAUUUAGUGGGCGAAUGUGACUUGUAUCGAUUGGAGGAAAAAAUUCAGCAUCGAAGGAAUAACGACUGAAAUAUUGGAGUGUCAAAAUGACAAAACGAAAACCUGCAAAACGAUGGAGAAGAACCGGUAAAGAAGUCGACUCAAAUAAACGAUCAAGAAGGACUGUACAAUUGCCACCAAUGUGAAUGUGGAGACUGAUGAGCAAUGUCUAAAAGGUAGCAGCAGGGGAACAGAAGGAGCCCAAAACACUGCUCUUCAUAUGGAACACAUCCAACCUCCAGGUGUCCAUGCAGGAUGUACCACUCUGGAACACCAAGCCUCUCCCUACCAGCCAGCACAUGAAAAUAUUUCUACUUUUGACUCCAUCAAAGACAAUGGAAAACCAUUUUCCAGAUCAGCCCUCAUAGAUCCUCCUGAUGGCCUAACAACUGAACUACAUGUCGAUGCUGAGUAUGAUCCAUCUCAAUCAUUUGAGGAAUCUCUCCCUGAUAUGGGGGAUUGGAUGUACAAUGACGGACAUAUGUUUAAUGAAGGAUUUGAAGAUAGUUUGAGUGAGGAGUGUGCAGAAGAGUCAAAUAUCAAGGACACAACAGACAAACCAUUAUAUGACAAUGCAUCAGUAACCGUGGCAGAGUGCCUUCUGAUCAUCAUGGUUUAUGAAAACUGUCAUAAAGUCACUGAUAAGGCCCUAUAAGCGAUUUGCUGAAAAUGUUCAAGUUGCUUUGUCCCGAUAGUCUGAAUGCAGACUGCUUAAACAGUGUGCAGAAGUUCAAAAACUUUCUUUUAUCCCGCUCUGCAUCAUCGCCUAUUUUAUUACAUAAAUA